GUGAGUGUAGCUCAGUCGGUAGAGCUCCUGACUGUGGAUCAGGCGGCCGUGGGUUCGAGCCCCACCACUCACCCCA
rnacentral:tRNA from 1 species